UUGGGUUUGGCGCUAACUUCUCUCUCUCUCAGAUUAAGUCAUUACUGCAUUCUCUUGUGUUUACUUAUCAAAUUCCAGCUGUUGUCUCUUCCCCUCUGCUUGUGACCCCAUCCAUGCACUGAUGCACCUCCUCUCUCUUUACUAGUAAUAUGGGUAAAGGCCAUUUCGGUACAUUAAAUAUCGUAUUAAAUCGUUAGCAUAGUAUAAAAAUAUUUUCUCUAGAGUAGUUAUUAAUUAUCGUAUACCCUCUUAUCUUUUAUUUCUAUAAGAAGUUAUUGUUAUUAGCAGCAACUUUACCCCUUUUUAUUACUCCUUUUGUUUCAAAUUAGACGAGG
rnacentral:lncRNA from 1 species